rnacentral:rRNA from 1 species
CAGACAACUGUGUCUCCUGGCAUACCUGUCAUUGUGUUCCGUGGACUAUCUGAUCUAGCUGGAGUAGAGCCAACAAGGUAAUCAAUAAGCCUGAUGAACCUCGCAUCUAUUAAUACACUCAAAGUGGUAGUGGAGUUCAUCUCUACAAUUAGCAGGCAAAAGUCAAUGCCAUCAGCAGCAAGUUCUAAUAUCUGA